AUAAAUCCACGUGUCACACUCCUUAUUCGCUCUGCAAGAGCUCAUCAGCAACCUUUCUAAAGACACAGGUUCAUUCACCUACAUGUUGCCCCAGUGUUGCCUCUGUCCAAUUUUCUUGUAUUUUUCUGAACGUUCUCUUUAUGCACUCCCUCAGAAGGAAAAAUCCUUGUUGAAGAUAUUGUGAAGCUAGCAUCCCAAACAGAGAACAAUGAAGAGGAAGAGGAAGCACGGUAGAUGGGAGAGUAUAUGGAAACAUCACACUCGUUCAGCAGUCAAAACUCAUGUAUUGAAAGGCAAUACGUCCAUUUCUUGUGUCUCUUGACUGACUUUGAUAGUGACUUCCAAUUAGCAAGGUAGAUUUUCUGUAGAAAGGCAAAGUACUUUCUCAGAAAUAUGUUUUAAAAUAUGUUGCUGCCCAGUCACCUUCUCAGAAAUCAAG
rnacentral:lncRNA from 1 species